UGAUGUCAACGUUGUGAACAGAGGUCCCCAUGGUGACGGAGGGGUUAUGGUAUGGUGUUUGCUGAUGUAAACGUUGUGAACAGAGGUCCCCAUGGUGACGGUGGGGUUAUGGUAUGGUGUUUGCUGAUGUCAACGUUGUGAACAGAGGUCCCCAUGGUGACGGAGGGGUUAUGGUAUGGUGUUUGCUGAUGUCAACGUUGUGAACAGAGGUCCCCAUGGUGACGGAGGGGUUAUGGUAUGGUGUUUGCUGAUGUCAACGUUGUGAACAGAGUGGCCCAUGGUGGUGGAGGGGUUAUGGUAUGGUGUUUGCUGAUGUCAACGUUGUGAACAGAGGUCCCCAUGGUGGUGGAGGGGUUAUGGUAUGGUGUUUGCUGAUGUCAACGUUGUGAACAGAGUGGCUCAUGGUGGUGGAGGGGUUAUGGUAUGGUGUUUGCUGAUGUCAACGUUGUGAACAGAGGUCCCCAUGGUGACGGUGGGGUUAUGGUAUGGUGUUUGCUGAUGUAAACGUUGUGAACAGAGGUCCCCAUGGUGACGGAGGGGUUAUGGUAUGGUGUUUGCUGAUGUCAACGUUGUGAACAGAGUGGCUCAUGGUGGUGGAGGGGUUAUGGUAUGGUGUUUACUGAUGUCAACGUUGUGAACAGAGGUCCCCAUGGUGACGGAGGGGUUAUGGUAUGGUGUUUGCUGAUGUCAACGUUGUGAACAGAGUGGCUCAUGGUGGUGGAGGGGUUAUGGUAUGGUGUUUACUGAUGUCAACGUUGUGAACAGAGGUCCCCAUGGUGACGGAGGGGUUAUGGUAUGGUGUUUACUGAUGUCAACGUUGUGAACAGAGGUCCCCAUGGUGACGGAGGGGUUAUGGUAUGGUGUUUGCUGAUGUCAACGUUGUGAACAGAGGUCCCCAUGGUGACGGAGGGGUUAUGGUAUGGUGUUUACUGAUGUAAACGUUGUGAACAGAGGUCCCCAUGGUGACGGUGGGGUUAUGGUAUGGUGUUUACUGAUGUAAACGUUGUGAACAGAGUGGCUCAUGGUGGUGGAGGGGUUAUGGUAUGGUGUUUGCUGAUGUCAACGUUGUGAACAGAGGUCCCCAUGGUGACGGAGGGGUUAUGGUAUGGUGUUUACUGAUGUCAACGUUGUGAACAGAGGUCCCCAUGGUGGUGGAGGGGUUAUGGUAUGGUGUUUGCUGAUGUCAACGUUGUGAACAGAGGUCCCCAUGGUGACGGAGGGGUUAUGGUAUGGUGUUUGCUGAUGUCAACGUUGUGAACAGAGGUCCCCAUGGUGACGGAGGGGUUAUGGUAUGGUGUUUACUGAUGUCAACGUUGUGAACAGAGGUCCCCAUGGUGACGGAGGGGUUAUGGUAUGGUGUUUACUGAUGUCAACGUUGUGAACAGAGGUCCCCAUGGUGACGGAGGGGUUAUGGUAUGGUGUUUGCUGAUGUCAACGUUGUGAACAGAGGUCCCCAUGG